AUUGAACGCUGGCGGCAGGCCUAAUACAUGCAAGUCGAACGAGUGGCGGACGGGUGAGUAAUUUCUGGGAAACUGCCCGAUCGAGGCGUAUAACUACUUGAACCCGUAGCUACUACCGCAUACCAUCGUAUCUGCCCAGAUGGGAUUAGCUAGUCGGUGGGGUAACGGCUAACCUAGGCGACAAUCCCUAGCUGGUCUGAGAGGAUGACCGGCCACACGGGAACUGAGACACGGCCCAGACUCCUACGGGAGGCAGCAGUAGGGAAUAUUGCACAAUGGGCGCAAGCCUGAUACAGCAAUGACGCGUGAAUGAAGAAGGCCUUCGGGUUGUAAAGGACUGUCAUCGGGGAGGCGGUACUCGAAGAAGAAGCACCGGCUAACUCCGUGCCAGCAGCCGCGGUAAUUC
rnacentral:rRNA from 1 species